AUAUGACUCAAGGGACUCAAAAAGUUCAUAGUUUGUGUUUUGUGAUUGAUAUGAAAUAAAUAGUUUUGAUGAGCUACCGAAAUACUGCCAAUAUUUAUAAAACUGGUCAAAUGUUAAAGCAUCAAUAAAUUCUAAAUAAUCUUUUUUCCAUGAGCAAGAAAAGUGGGUAUGUUUGGAAGCUCCCAUAUGUAAAGAUGCUAGUGUGAAUAAAUCUUCUGACUCCGACCCUUCGUAGUAUAUUUUAUUGGUUUUUGAUGUGAUUUGGCUGCCAAGGUUGUUUUCUAUUAAUCUUGCGUUUCUGGAAAGUAAUAAUAAAAAUUCUUUGGCUUUAUUAAACCCUGACCUAGAAAUCAUCUUUGAAGGCCUGGAAUAAUAUGUUAGGAAGAAAUUGUUAAGGAGCUCGCCAAGUUCUCUAAUGUUUUUAGUUGGGGACUGUAGCUUGAACUCAAGAACUAAAUAUUUACCAAGUAUUAUUCUAGGGAGCACUUUUAAAGAACAAUCUGGACAAACUUUAUCUGAGAACUCUAUAAAAUACUUAUAUGAAUUGAGCUCUGAAACUAUUUGAAGGAAUGCCAAGUUCUGCUCGCUAUAAAACCCAUAAUGAAUUUGGAGGAGAACCAUAUUAUCCUUGCUAUUUUUGCUUGAAUUAAUGUAAAAGAAGUAAGAAUUGCUGUAGUUGUAUGGCAAUCUACUCAUAUCACUGAAUGAAUUUCUUGUGUAUC
rnacentral:antisense_RNA from 1 species